AAUGCAUUACAGUCAACGGGUGUUUUUAUAAUGGUGACUUUUUUGUCCAAACGCAUUCAAGUCAAUGGGUGUUUUUCGUAUGAUGACUUUUUAUCACGGCCACAUUUUUGUCUCGUUGACUUUUUUGUCGCGGAGCAUUUUUCCUCUGCGUCAGUUUCAUCAAAAAAGUUGCAGAUGGCCAAAUGCGAAAUUUCGUCAGGAAUCCAUGGCUGGUGGAAAAAAUUCACUCAUCGCUAGUAAUAUUAAAAGAGUGCCUUGUGCUUGAUCCCAGCAGGAUGGUGUUUAUUGCUUAUAGAUAUUUCAGAGCCAUGUAGAGUUCAGGUAAAGGGGUUUAUUCUGAUGUUUACAUUUAGAGGGGUCAAUAACACAUCUGUUAUUUCAGCACAGCUUUGCACUGAUGAUAAAUAUGUGUCAGUAGCUCUUUUAUACUUACAUAAAUGUGGUCGGUGAAAAUCAUUCUUGUUUGUUUAUAUUCUGCCAACAUAUUUUUCAGUGUUUCACGAAUGGUAACGCAAUAGCCACUGUGGGAAUAAUACAUGUUUCCCUAGCGGCCUUGCUUAGCAGCUUUAUUUCUUCUCUUUAUGUUCACGAAUGCUUUACAGAAAGCUAAAAUACCGUUUGACUUGCAGGACGAAGAGAUCAUGCUAAAAAAGCAAUCUGCCAAGAAAAGUGAAAAGAGACGCACGGAUGACCAAUGAAGUGUUAAGACUUGUAUGGGUGUCUAGAAAGCUAUGAAAUGAUGCUCCACCAGCCUCCACUUCCUACACGGCUAUAUACCGCAGGGAAAAUGAGGGACUUUUGGGGGCAGAUGUGUUUCACUUACACUACCAUAAUGCCCCUAAAAAUCCUUAUUGUUCUUGCAGUUUUCUUCAGAAUCUCUGGGACCCACACUGGAACAGAGCAAAGAAGAAGCUUGAAUGCCUGAACAGCCAUUUUUCUUUUCAUCAUUUGCAAAAAGGAACUUAAAUAAAAGUAAUAAAUAAAAUAAUUUGCAGAAAUUGGGUGGAUUAUAAGGGAUGUGCAGAAUCUUUCAUUAACAGAUGGGAUGAUUAUAUUCUCUCUUCUGACAAUGACAAAUUGUCUUUGCAUAUUUCAGUAAACAUUUAAAUGUAAUAAGAAAUACAUCUAAUAAGACAUAAUAAGAAUACAAAUAUAUUACAAAUUUGUGUACAAGAUUUUACUUCCAGCUAGUUAAUGUGUGGGAAGCUAUAGGGAAACUUUUGACCGAUCAGCUACAACUAAAACUGCAAGCUGAAACAGUAAUGCCUACAAAAUAUAAAGAUGGGGGAAAAAAGAAAUAGCUAUGUAAACAAAUAUUUGACUACAAGUAUGAGACCUGUUAUCCAGAAUACCUGAGGUUUUCUGAAUGAGCAGUCUUUCCAAAAUCUGGAUACCUUAAAAAAAAAAUGUAAACAUUAAUUAAUCCCAAUUGUUUUGCUUCCAAUAAAGGUUCAUUAAAUCUUA